CAGACGACGCGUAUUGAAAGUAUUCCGGGAUUCCCUCUCCGGAGAGCCACGAAAACGUCAUCCGGACCAAAGGAGACACAUGAUCAGACUGCGCCAAUGAGGGCGCGCCUCCCGGCACAGCUGGCAGGCGGGCGUCUGCAAGGCGCCAUCUCCAAUUGUCUGCUAUCAUGUCGGAAUUAGAAAGGGAUGUCGCGUCGCUGUCAAGCGAUUUUGAAGAAGCCACCAUCGAUGAAGUGGUGGUAGACGAUGACCCAUAUUCGACAGACCCGCUACCACUUCAUCCUGCUGGUGAUAGAGGUGAGAUAUUGGACGUGAGCUUCACGACGACAUGCAGUUUGAGGUACGUUUCAUUACCGGACCGCAGGCGUACGACGAACCUUUCCGCACACCGGCUUCACAGGUCCACUUGGCAAUGACAGAUACUUCUGCGACUGCUGUAAUACCGGAGAAGCAUGGAUGAGCACCUGCUGCAGUUCUGUGAGCCAGAUAUCUGCCCUGUGUGAAAACGCAGGUACCCACACUUCAACGAGCUUUGCGUUCAGAGAGAGCUGCUGGUAGUCUACACGCCUCGUGUUGCCGAUGCGAUCACCGGAUGCAGCUUCUGUAUUCAAGGGACAACAGAUGCCUGCUACUUACAUCAUAUUAGUCAUUGCAAGCUGGGCCCCAGAAACAGUAUCCAAAUUCCAGUGUGUGCUUUACACCUAAUCAGAGGACACUAUAGUCAGUCAUAUUAUGGAUAUUAACAACAUCAGUACGUUUCAGGCAUAUGACCCUUCUUCGACAGCUGUGAACAGAGCUUCAUUCAAGACCACCGUGAUGCUUCCCACAUGUUAGGGAAUGUACUCCGUACAUAAAAUACAAGCCAGGAAAGCGGCGUAGCUGAGACCUCCUGUUGGGUGCCACCACUGUUGGUGAAUAUUCCAGAGCUCUCAUGACCUCAGCAUUGUUGCAGGUCCUUCAAGACGUUUUCUGAAAAUAAAAAAAAUAAAAACUGAUUU